ACUCAAAGGAAUAGACGGGGGCCCGCACAAGCAGUGGAUUAUGUGGUUUAAUUCGAAGCAACGCGAAGAACCUUACCAGGUCUUGACAUACCACGAGUAGCAUGGAGACAUGUGAUGCCCUUCGGGGCGUGGAUACAGGUGGUGCAUGGUUGUCGUCAGCUCGUGUCGUGAGAUGUUGGGUUAAGUCCCGCAACGAGCGCAACCCUUACUAUUAGUUGCUACGCAAGAGCACUCUAAUGGGACUGCCGUUGACAAAACGGAGGAAGGUGGGGAUGAUGUCAAAUCAUCAUGCCCUUUAUGACCUGGGCUACACACGUAAUACAAUGGUACUGAACAGUGGGAAGCGAAGCCGCGAGGCGGAGCAAAACCCCAAAAAGUAUCUCAGUUCGGAUUGCAGGCUGCAACCCGCCUGCAUGAAGUCGGAAUUGCUAGUAAUCGCGGAUCAUCAUGCCGCGGUGAAUACGUUCCCGGGCCUUGCACACACCGCCCGU
rnacentral:rRNA from 1 species